GACGAACGCUGGCGGCGUACUUAACACAUGCAAGUCGAACGGCUCUUCGGAGCAGUGGCGGACGGGUGAGUAACGCGUGGGAAUGUGCCCUUAGGUACGGAACAACACAGGGAAACUUGUGCUAAUACCGUAUGUGCCCUUCGGGGGAAAGAUUUAUCGCCUUUGGAGCAGCCCGCGUUGGAUUAGGUAGUUGGUGAGGUAAAGGCUCACCAAGCCGACGAUCCAUAGCUGGUCUGAGAGGAUGACCAGCCACACUGGGACUGAGACACGGCCCAGACUCCUACGGGAGGCAGCAGUAGGGAAUCUUGCGCAAUGGGCGAAAGCCUGACGCAGCCAUGCCGCGUGUAUGAUGAAGGUCUUAGGAUUGUAAAAUACUUUCACCGGGGAAGAUAAUGACGGUACCCGGAGAAGAAGCCCCGGCUAACUUCGUGCCAGCAGCCGCCGUAAAAC
rnacentral:rRNA from 1 species